rnacentral:rRNA from 1 species
GAUGAACGCUGACAGAAUGCUUAACACAUGCAAGUCUACUUGAACUUCGGUUUGGGUGGCGGACGGGUGAGUAACGCGUAAAGAACUUGCCUCACAGUUAGGGACAACAUUUGGAAACGAAUGCUAAUACCUGAUAUUAUGAUUUUAGGGCAUCCUAAGAUUAUGAAAGCUAUAUGCGCUGUGAGAGAGCUUUGCGUCCCAUUAGCUAGUUGGAGAGGUAACGGCUCACCAAGGCGAUGAUGGGUAGCCGGCCUGAGAGGGUGAACGGCCACAAGGGGACUGAGACACGGCCCUUACUCCUACGGGAGGCAGCAGUGGGGAAUAUUGGACAAUGGACCAAAAGUCUGAUCCAGCAAUUCUGUGUGCACGAUGACGUUUUUCGGAAUGUAAAGUGCUUUCAGUUGGGAAGAAAAAAAUGACGGUACCAACAGAAGAAGUGACGGCUAAAUACGUGCCAGCAGCCGCGGUAAUACGUAUGUCACAAGCGUUAUCCGGAUUUAUUGGGCGUAAAGCGCGUCUAGGUGGUUAUGUAAGUCUGAUGUGAAAAUGCAGGGCUCAACUCUGUAUUGCGUUGGAAACUGCAUGACUAGAGUACUGGAGAGGUAAGCGGAACUACAAGUGUAGAGGUGAAAUUCGUAGAUAUUUGUAGGAAUGCCGAUGGGGAAGCCAGCUUACUGGACAGAUACUGACGCUAAAGCGCGAAAGCGUGGGCAGCAAACAGG